UAGAAGCAGCCAUCAUUUAAAGAAAGCGUAAUAGCUCACUGGUCGAGUCGGCCUGCGCGGAAGAUGUAACGGGGCUAAACCAUGCACCGAAGCUGCGGCAGCGACACUAUGUGUUGUUGGGUAGGGGAGCGUUCUGUAAGCCUGUGAAGGUGUGCUGUGAGGCACGCUGGAGGUAUCAGAAGUGCGAAUGCUGACAUAAGUAACGAUAAAGCGGGUGAAAAGCCCGCUCGCCGGAAGACCAAGGGUUCCUGUCCAACGUUAAUCGGGGCAGGGUGAGUCGACCCCUAAGGCGAGGCCGAAAGGCGUAGUCGAUGGGAAACAGGUUAAUAUUCCUGUACUUGGUGUUACUGCGAAGGGGGGACGGAGAAGGCUAUGUUGGCCGGGCGACGGUUGUCCCGGUUUAAGCGUGUAGGCUGGUUUUCCAGGCAAAUCCGGAAAAUCAAGGCUGAGGCGUGAUGACGAGGCACUACGGUGCUGAAGCAACAAAUGCCCUGCUUCCAGGAAAAGCCUCUAAGCAUCAGGUAACAUCAAAUCGUACCCCAAACCGACACAGGUGGUCAGGUAGAGAAUACCAAGGCGCUUGAGAGAACUCGGGUGAAGGAACUAGGCAAAAUGGUGCCGUAACUUCGGGAGAAGGCACGCUGAUAUGUAGGUGAAGUCCCUCGCGGAUGGAGCUGAAAUCAGUCGAAGAUACCAGCUGGCUGCAACUGUUUAUUAAAAACACAGCACUGUGCAAACACGAAAGUGGACGUAUACGGUGUGACGCCUGCCCGGUGCCGGAAGGUUAAUUGAUGGGGUCAGCGCAAGCGAAGCUCUUGAUCGAAGCCCCGGUAAACGGCGGCCGUAACUAUAACGGUCCUAAGGUAGCGAAAUUCCUUGUCGGGUAAGUUCCGACCUGCACGAAUGGCGUAAUGAUGGCCAGGCUGUCUCCACCCGAGACUCAGUGAAAUUGAACUCGCUGUGAAGAUGCAGUGUACCCGCGGCAAGACGGAAAGACCCCGUGAACCUUUACUAUAGCUUGACACUGAACAUUGAGCCUUGAUGUGUAGGAUAGGUGGGAGGCUUUGAAGUGUGGACGCCAGUCUGCAUGGAGCCGACCUUGAAAUACCACCCUUUAAUGUUUGAUGUUCUAACGUGGACCCGUAAUCCGGGUUGCGGACAGUGUCUGGUGGGUAGUUUGACUGGGGCGGUCUCCUCCUAAAGAGUAACGGAGGAGCACGAAGGUUGGCUAAUCCUGGUCGGACAUCAGGAGGUUAGUGCAAUGGCAUAAGCCAGCUUGACUGCGAGCGUGACGGCGCGAGCAGGUGCGAAAGCAGGUCAUAGUGAUCCGGUGGUUCUGAAUGGAAGGGCCAUCGCUCAACGGAUAAAAGGUACUCCGGGGAUAACAGGCUGAUACCGCCCAAGAGUUCAUAUCGACGGCGGUGUUUGGCACCUCGAUGUCGGCUCAUCACAUCCUGGGGCUGAAGUAGGUCCCAAGGGUAUGGCUGUUCGCCAUUUAAAGUGGUACGCGAGCUGGGUUUAGAACGUCGUGAGACAGUUCGGUCCCUAUCUGCCGUGGGCGCUGGAGAACUGAGGGGGGCUGCUCCUAGUACGAGAGGACCGGAGUGGACGCAUCACUGGUGUUCGGGUUGUCAUGCCAAUGGCACUGCCCGGUAGCUAAAUGCGGAAGAGAUAAGUGCUGAAAGCAUCUAAGCACGAAACUUGCCCCGAGAUGAGUUCUCCCUGACCCUUUAAGGGUCCUGAAGGAACGUUGAAGACGACGACGUUGAUAGGCCGGGUGUGUAAGCGCAGCGAUGCGUUGAGCUAACCGGUACUAAUGAACCGUGAGGCUUAACCUUACAACGCCGAAGCUGUU
rnacentral:rRNA from 1 species